CUCAAACUCUAAAUGGGUAUGAAGCCAGGGUUGCUUGACUCUGAACCCAGGCGUUGAAUGUUUGAGCUCCAAGUGGGCCAUUUUUGGUAAGCAGAACUCGGCGAUGUGGGAUGAACCAAACGUGGAGUUAAGGUGCCAAAGUGCCCGCUCAUUAGACCCCAUAAAAGGUGUUGGUUGAUAUAGACAGCAGGACGGUGGCCAUGGAAGUCGGAAUCCGCUAAGGAGUGUGUAACAACUCACCUGCCGAAUCAACUAGCCCUGAAAAUGGAUGGCGCUGGAGCGGGCCACCUAUACUCCACCGUCAUUGGCUUGUACACGUGCUUGUCGCGUAGUCUGGCCAUGACGUGUAGGAGGGUCGUGGUGGUUGCGUUGAAGGCUUUGGGCGUGGGCCCGGCCGGAGCUUCCACCAGUGCAGAUCUUGGUGGUAGUAGCAAAUAUUCAAGUGAGAUCCUUGAAGACUGAAGUGGAGAAGGGUUCCACGUGAACAGCAGUUGAAUGUGGGUCAGCCGAUCCUAAGGCACCGGCUAACGCCGUAACACACUACGGAUGACGACUUUUCUGUGCUUGCGCAGUUGGUCCAUCCGGUUGCCGAAAGGGAAGUGGGUUAACAUUCCCACGCCAGGCUAGGGAAAUGACGGUUCGCAAGAGCUGUUUUGCGCGGUAACGCAAAUGAACUCGCAGACGUCGUGUGGAGUCCGAGCCAGAGUUCUCUUUUCUGGUUUAGGGUGUGCGUGCCUGGAAGUGGCUCAGCCUGAGAUAGGGAUGUUGCGCCCGUAAAGCACCGCGGUUCCUGUGGUGUCUCGUGCGCUCCACACGGCCCUUGAAAAUGCGAGGGAAGCUAUUUGAAUCUCCUGCCUGAUCGUACCGAUAUCCGCAGCAGGUCUCCAAGGUGAACAGCCUCUAGUCGAUAGAAUAAUGUAGGUAAGGGAAGUCGGCAAAUUAGAUUCGUAACUUCGGGAAAAGAAUUGGCUCUAAAGGUCGGGUCAGCCGGGCUGUUGCGUGAAACAGGCGGCUUUUGCCCGUGGCUGCGUGCUGUUCUUUCGGGGAUGGUGCGUGGACUAGUGGUGAGAGCUGCUUGUGGAGCGCUUCAGCUGCGUGUAUGCUCGUCAGGGUAUGCACUUCGGUUGGCGCUGAACGACCAGUUUAGAACUGGCACGAACUCGGGGAAUCCGACUGUCUAAUUAAAACAGAGGAGACGGAUGGUCCUUGUGGACGUUGACCGUGUCUGAUUUCUGCCCAGUGCUCUGAAUGUUAAGCCAAGGAAACUUGAUUAAGCGCGGGUAAACGGCGGGAGUAACUAUGACUCUCUUAAGGUAGCCAAAUGCCUCGUCGGCUAACUACCGACGCGCACGAAUGGAUCAACGAGAUUCCCACUGUCCCUAUCUACUAUCUAGCAAAGCCACAGCCAAGGGAACGGGCUUGGCAAAUUUAGCGG
rnacentral:rRNA from 2 species